UACGAAGGUGUCAAACGUUGUCCGGAAUUACUGGGCGUAAAGGGCGCGUAGGCGGCAGAUUAAGUCAUAUGUGAAAGUCCAGGGCUCAACCCUGAAAUUGCAUGUGAUACUGGUCAGCUUGAGUUCGGUAGAGGAGGGCGGAAUUCCUGGUGUAGCGGUGAAAUGCGUAGAUAUCAGGAGGAACACCUGUGGCGAAGGCGGCUCUCUGGUCCGAUACUGACGCUGAGGCGCGAAAGCUAGGGUAGCAAACAGG
rnacentral:rRNA from 1 species